AUUUGAGACUUUUGAAAAAUGAAAUACAACAUGUGCAUUGUGGGAAGAGGGAAAGCAUAGCACAGAGACAAAGAUGGCUACAUUGAAUGUUUCAAGCAGCAUGAGGUAGACACAUUAUCCAUUAGAGGCCACCCAAAACGUUGCGUGGCAAAUUCUGACUGGAACAAAGAUGGAGAUUGAGGAUGCAGAGGCCUCUUGACUGUUCAAGGACAUCUGGGCCGGGCUACUAGAGCAGAUUCUGCUCUCACUGUUCCUCUAAUGGCAUUAGGGCUGUGACGGUCAUGGGAUUUUGGAGGACGGUAUUUCACCAGCCAAAUGACCACGGUCUCCAUAAUAACCGUUGAAAAGCACUUAUUAUUAUUUAAUUUCUUACGCACAUUUUCUCCUCUCCUUGUGUGUAUUGGUGCAGAGGGAUGGAGGUGAAGAGACACAGAGGGAUGGAGGUGAAGAGGGAUGGAGGUGAAGAGGGAUGGAGGUGAAGAGGGAUGGAGGUGAAGAGGGAUGGAGGUGAAGAGACACAGAGGGAUGGAGCUGAAGAGACACAGAGAGAUGGAGCUGAAGAGACACAGAGGGAUGGAGCUGAAGAGACACAGAGGGAUGGAGCUGAAGAGACACAGAGGGAUGGAGCUGAAGAGACACAGAGAGAUGGAGGUGAAGAGACACAGAGGGAUGGAGGUGAAGAGACACAGAGGGAUGGAGCUGAAG